UACGUAGGGGCCUAGCGUUGUCCGGAAUUAUUGGGCGUAAAGAGCUCGUAGGCGGUUCGGCAAGUCGGAUGUGAAAUCUCCACGCUUAACGUGGAGGGGCCAUUCGAAACUGCUGUGACUCGAGUCCGGUAGGGGAGUGUGGAAUUCCCGGUGUAGCGGUGAAAUGCGCAGAUACCGGGAGGAACACCAGUAGCGAAGGCGGCACUCUGGGCCGGAACUGACGCUGAGGAGCGAAAGCGUGGGGAGCGAACAGG
rnacentral:rRNA from 1 species